rnacentral:ncRNA from 1 species
AAGCGAGGACGGCCUCCCCCGUUGAUCGGGCGAUAUGUCCGGGACGACCCGG